rnacentral:rRNA from 1 species
AGUGGAUGGGGAGCAACCUAGUUGUGCGUGUGUAAAGGUAGUGCCAAGAAAAGCGAUGAUCAUGUUGAAAAUCAAUUCCCGGUACCCGAAACCGACACAGGUGGGCAAGUAGAGAAUACUAAGGGGCGCGAGGUAACUCUCUCCAAGGAACUCGGCAAAAUGACCCCGUAACUUAGGGAGAAGGGGUGCCACCGAGAGGUGGUCGCAGUGAAGAGGCCCAGGCGACUGUUUAGCAAAAACAUAGGUCUCUGCAAACUCGAAAGAGGAGGUAUAGGGGCUGACGCCUGCCCGGUGCCGGAAGGUUAAAGAAGUUGGUCAGUCUUAGGAUGAAGCUAGCGACUGAAGCCCCGGUGAACGGCGGCCGUAACUAUAACGGUCCUAAGGUAGCGAAAUUCCUUGUCGGGUAAGUUCCGACCCGCACGAAAGGCAUAACGAUCUGGGCGCUGUCUCGGAGAGAGGCUCGGCGAAAUAGGAUUGUCUGUGAAGAUACGGACUACCUGCAUUUGGACAGAAAGACCCUAUGAAGCUUUACUAUAGCUUGAAUUGUGUUCGGGCUUCCUGUGCGCAGGAUAGGUGGGAGGCGUAGAAGGUAUUCUUGUGGGGAUACUGGAGCCAACGGUGAGAUACCACUCUCAGGAGGCUAGAAUUCUAACUUAAUUAAGGACAGUUUCAGGUGGGUAGUUUGACUGGGGCGGUCGCCUCCAAAAAGGUAACGGAGGCGUACAAAGGUUCCCUCAGACUGGUUGGAAAUCAGUCGAAGAGUGCAAAGGCAGAAGGGAGCUUGACUGCGAGAAGUACAGUUCGAGCAGGGUGGAAACACGGUCUUAGUGAUCCGACGGUGCUGUGUGGAAGGGCCGUCGCUCAACGGAUAAAAGUUACUCUAGGAUAACAGGCUGAUCUCCCCCAAGAGUUCACAUCGACGGGGAGGUUUGGCACCUCGAUGUCGGCUCAUCGCAACCUGGGGCGGAAGUACGUCCCAAGGGUUGGGCUGUUCGCCCAUUAAAGCGGUACGUGAGCUGGGUUCAGAACGUCGUGAGACAGUUCGGUCCAUAUCCGAUGUAGGCGUGAGAAUAUUGAGAGGAGCCUUCCUUAGUACGAGAGGACCGGGAAGGACGCACCGCUGGUGUACCUGUUAUGAUGCCAAUUGUAAACGCAGGGUAGCCAAGUGCGGAGAGGAUAACCGCUGAAAGCAUCUAAGUGGGAAGCCCACCUCAAGAUGAGUAUUCUGGUGUAAGGUCACGGGAAGACGACCCGUAAAUAGGCACGAGGUGGAAGUGCAGAGAUGUAUGAAGCCGAAGUGUACUAAUAGACCGUCGGCUUGAUC